GGUUCUAUGGUGUAGUUGGUUAUCACUUCUGUCUAACAUCGCGUUGAAUUACGUAAUGGGACACAGGCGGUCCUCAGUUCGAACCUGGGUGGAAUCA